rnacentral:rRNA from 1 species
CCAAGGAGUGUAUUGCUAUGGCAAGUCAUUGAUAUUGUUAAUAUCAAAGGCGUAAUGAAAAUAAUUUUAAUCUCUGAUCUUUUGAUUUUAUUAUCAUUAGCGCAUGAGAAACGUAAAUAUAUGAUAUAAUCAUUUUUUGCAGUUAUAGCCAUAGUAGUGCGACCCGAAAGAUGGUGAACUAUACUAGUGCAGGGUGAAGUCAGAAGAAAUUCUGAUGGAAGCUCGAAGCGGUCCUGACGUGCAAAUCGGUCGUCUGACAUUAGUAUAGGGGCGAAAGACUAAUCGAACC